rnacentral:misc_RNA from 1 species
AAUUCGACGGUUCGUUCGUUCAUCUCCGCCCCAUGCCCUCACGGGUGGUGGGGCGGACGUUAGGCAAGCCUUGUGUUCCCGGCAUGCCACGCUCGRUUGCGUGGGUGCCUCGGCCCACGAGGUGCUUUGCCCGUGCUCUCGGAUGCGGAACGUUAUGCGCGGGCGGGUGGUCUCUCGGCCUCCGUUUGCCCGAGCAACGCAUUUUGUCAAACGACACGAACGACUGCCGCGCCCGUCUUCGAGCCCGCGGCCUCACGGCUCGGCCGGGCUCAUG